AUAAGUGGAAUUCCUAAUAUCCCUGGGAUACAUCCAUAUUUUGGCCAACAAAAUAUGUUACAAGGAGGAACUUUUCCAUUUCAAACAAGUAUAACAAGUCAAAAGUUUGGUAUGCACCCUUUUCUUUCCCAUGAUAAUGUAUCUCAGGGUCAUCACUAUCAAACGGUUGGUAUGAAUCAAAAGAAGAAAGUUGAUAACGAAUCUCAGGUUCAAGGAAGCUUUUGAAACAAAGAAAAACCAUGACAGACCUAACAAAGGAAUUCAGUUUAAUCACUAGAAUAUUGGACGAGGCUGGGAUCUUAUUAUCAAAAUAGCAAGAGCUAGGAAAGCUAGACCAAAGAGGACCUCUUUUGUUAUGAAGCUUCAAAUAAAGAAGGAUCAUGUUCUCAGGUUGUGCCAGCAGUGGAGCUUCUACAAUUACUGCAGCAACGCAAGAAGCUUUAGUAGUGUCUGCUGUUAAAGCAAAGAGUUUGGGAUUCUGCAGAAUUUUGAUCAUGUGUUGUAGUAAAGGUUUAGUUAGUGUUUGUAAUUUGCAGUGUAGUCCUAACUGGCAGCAAAUAACCUUGCUCUCUAACUUGGCAUUUCUGCAGCAACAGACCCUUUUUGUUCCUCGGGUCAUCUUAGGCUCAGUUUGUAACACAGCCAAGUUUGCUCUUAAGUUCCCUGGUCCUUGUUGCUGGGUGCACCCAGCAUUUGUAUAGUUUGUAUUCCUUCAAUUCUGGUAUUAAAAAAAAAAAAAAAAAAAAAAAAAAACGUAUAUAUUGUAAUUGACAGACUAUGGAUUUUGAAGACUUUUGGACAGUUAACUGCAUUUGUACAAUUGAUAGGUACUGUAGUGUGACUCUGGAUAUUUGCAGAUAUUUGUAAAUGUAUGCAUAUGUGGAUAUUUGCUGAUAUUUGUAAAUAGGUAUUUGACAGUUGUAGGCUA